rnacentral:tRNA from 1 species
GCCCUGGUAGUAUAGCCCGGUCUAAUAUGCUCGGCUGUCACCCGAGUGAGCGCGGGUUCAAAUCCCGCCCAGGGCGCCA